rnacentral:rRNA from 1 species
CAAUAGCGUAUAUUAAACUUGUUGCGGUUAAAACGCUCGUAGUUGGAUAUCUGUGAGUGGGUUUCGGUACUUCCCAGUGAAGAUUACACGGAGCUCUGCUCACAUUUGUUCAGGGAGGGUGGAUGCACUUCACUGUGUGACCACAUGAUCUGAAUUUUUACUUUGAGGAAAUGAGAGUGUUCCAAGCAGGCAAUCGCCGUGAAUAUGAUAGCAUGGAAUAAUAGCACAGGACUCUUGGUUCAAUGCUGUUGGUUUGUUGAGCUAGAGUAUCACAAUAAGGAUAGUUGGGGGUACUCGUAUUUAACUGUCAGAGGUGAAAUUCUUGGAUUUUUUAAAGACGAACAAUUGCGAAGGCAUCUACCCAGGAUGUUUUUGUUGA